rnacentral:rRNA from 1 species
CAGCAGCCGCGGUAAUACGUAGGGGGCAAGCGUUAUCCGGAAUUACUGGGUGUAAAGGGAGCGUAGGCGGCACGCCAAGCCAGAUGUGAAGGCCCGAGGCUUAACCUCGGGAUUGCAUUUGGAACUGGCGAGCUAGAGUACAGGAGAGGAAAGCGGAAUUCCUAGUGUAGCGGUGAAAUGCGUAGAUAUUAGGAAGAACACCAGUGGCGAAGGCGGCUUUCUGGACUGAAACUGACGCUGAGGCUCGAAAGCGUGGGGAGCAAACAGGAUUAGAUACCCUGGUAGCCCACGCCGUAAACGAUGAGUGCUAGGUGUCGGGGAGGAAUCCUCGGUGCCGCAGCUAACGCAAUAAGCACUCCACCUGGGGAGU